rnacentral:rRNA from 1 species
UACGUAGGGCGCAAGCGUUAUCCGGAAUUAUUGGGCGUAAAGAGCUCGUAGGCGGUCUGUUGCGUCUGCUGUGAAAACUCGGGGCUUAACCCCGAGCCUGCAGUGGAUACGGGCAGACUAGAGGUAGGUAGGGGAGAAUGGAAUUCCCGGUGUAGCGGUGAAAUGCGCAGAUAUCGGGAGGAACACCGGUGGCGAAGGCGGUUCUCUGGGCCUUACCUGACGCUGAGGAGCGAAAGCGUGGGGA